GAUGAACGCUGGCGGCGUGCUUAACACAUGCAAGUCGAACGGAAAGGCCCAAGCUUGCUUGGGUACUCGAGUGGCGAACGGGUGAGUAACACGUGGGUGAUCUGCCCUGCACUUCGGGAUAAGCCUGGGAAACUGGGUCUAAUACCGGAUAGGACGAUGGUUUGGAUGCCAUUGUGGAAAGAUUUUUCGGUGUGGGAUGAGCUCGCGGCCUAUCAGCUUGUUGGUGGGGUAGUGGCCUACCAAGGCGUCGACGGGUAGCCGGCCUGAGAGGGUGUACGGCCACAUUGGGACUGAGAUACGGCCCAGACUCCUACGGGAGGCAGCAGUGGGGAAUAUUGCACAAUGGGAGCGAGCCUGAUGCAGCGACGCCGCGUGGGGGAUGACGGCCUUCGGGUUGUAAGCUCCUUUCGCUAGGGACGAAGCGUUUUUGUGACGGUACCUGGAGAAGAAGCACCGGCUAACUACGUG
rnacentral:rRNA from 1 species